rnacentral:rRNA from 1 species
UACGUAGGUGGCAAGCGUUGUCCGGAAUUAUUGGGCGUAAAGCGCGCGCAGGUGGUUCUUUAAGUCUGAUGUGAAAGCCCACGGCUCAACCGUGGAGGGUCAUUGGAAACUGGGGAACUUGAGUGCAGAAGAGGAAAGUGGAAUUCCAAGUGUAGCGGUGAAAUGCGUAGAGAUUUGGAGGAACACCAGUGGCGAAGGCGGCUCUCUGGACUGUAACUGACGCUGAGGCGCGAAAGCGUGGGGAGCAAACAGG